GCCGGGUGUGGUGGCUCACACCUGUAAUCCCAGCACUUUGGGAGGCCGAGGCAAGCAGAUCACCUGAGGUCAGGAGUUCAAAACCAGCCUGACCAACAUGGUGAAACCUUGUCUCUA
rnacentral:SRP_RNA from 1 species